rnacentral:rRNA from 1 species
CAGUCGCCACGGUAAUACGUAGGGUGCAAGCGUUAAUCGGAAUUACUGGGCGUAAAGCGUGCGCAGGCGGUGUUGUAAGACUGAUGUGAAAUCCCCGGGCUCAACCUGGGAACUGCAUUGGUGACUGCAACGCUGGAGUGCGGCAGAGGGGGAUGGAAUUCCGCGUGUAGCAGUGAAAUGCGUAGAUAUGCGGAGGAACACCGAUGGCGAAGGCAAUCCCCUGGGCCUGCACUGACGCUCAUGCACGAAAGCGUGGGGAGCAAACAGAAUUAGAUACCCGAGUAGUCCCUGUCUCUUAUAC